ensembl:snRNA U6 U6 spliceosomal RNA
AUGCUUACUUUAGCAGCACAUAUAUAAAAAUUGGAAUGAUACGGCAAAAAUUAUCUUGGUCCCUGCACAAGAAUGACACAUGAAUUUGUGAAGCAUUCCAUAUAUAU